UGGCUCUCGCAUCGAUGAAGAACGCAGCGAAAUGCGAUAAGUAAUGUGAAUUGCAGAAUUCAGUGAAUCAUCGAAUCUUUGAACGCACCUUGCGCUCCUUGGUAUUCCGAGGAGCAUGCCUGUUUGAGUGUCUUGAAAUCAUCAAGCCCCUCGGUUUCGCGACCGCGGGGGCUUGGACUUGGGGGCUUGCUGCGGCGACGCGGCUCCCCUUAAAUGAAUCGGUCGGACCCCUCGGGGCUCCUUUCCUGGGCGUUGUACCAUCCUCGUCCGACGGGAGGGCCCUUUGCCGACCUCGACCUGCCUCUGGAGUGGCGGUCAACAAACUUUGAAAUCUGACCUCAAAUCAGGUAGGACUACCCGCUGA
rnacentral:misc_RNA from 1 species